rfam:Camelus ferus unplaced genomic scaffold scaffold595, whole genome shotgun sequence.
CCAAAGGCUCUUUUAAGAGCCACUUAAACUUUCCAGAAGGCUGUAG